rnacentral:rRNA from 1 species
CCUACGGGAGGCUGCAGUGCGGAAUAUUGGUCAAUGGGAGAGAUCCUGAACCAGCCAAGCCGCGUGAGGGAAGACGGCCCUAUGGGUUGUAAACCUCUUUUGUCGGAGAACAAACCCCGGGACGUGUCCCGGACUGCGUGUAUCCGAAGAAAAAGCAUCGGCUAACUCCGUGCCAGCAACCGCGGUAAUACGUAGGUGGCGAGCGUUAUCCGGAAUCAUUGGGCGUAAAGAGGGAGCAGGCGGCCUUGAGGGUCUAUUGUUAAAAGGCAAUGGCUUAACCAUUGUAAGGCGAAGAAAUAGGCAGGCUAGAGUUCUAAAGAGGAUCGUGGAAUUCCAUGUGUAGCGGUGAAAUGCGUAGAUAUAUGGAGGAACACCAGUGGCGAAGGUGACGAUCUGGGAAGAAACAGACGCUGAGUCCCGAAAGCGUGGGGAGCAAAUAGGAUUAGAUACCCUGGUAGUC